rnacentral:rRNA from 1 species
AAUAUUGCACAAUGGGCGCAAGCCUGAUGCAGCCGAUGCCGCGUGUAUGAAGAAGGCCUUCGGGUUGUAAAGUACUUUCAGCAGUGAGGAAGGUGGGUAUGUUAAUAGCAUAUUCAUUUGACGUUAGCUGCAGAAGAAGCACCGGCUAACUCCGUGCCAGCAGCCGACGGUAAUACGGGAGGGUGCGAGCGUUAAUCGGAAUUACUGGGACGUAAAGCGCAUGCAGGUGGUUUGUUAAGUCAGAUGUGAAAGCCCGGGGCUCAACCUCGGUAAUUGCAUUUAGAAACUGGACAAACUAGAGUACUGUAGAGGGGGUAGAAUUUCAGGUGUAGCGGUGAAAUGCGUAGAGAUCUGAAGGAAUACCGGUGGCGAAGGCGGCCCCCUGGACAGAUACUGACACUCAGAUGCGAAAGCGUGGGGAGCAAACAGGAUUAGAUACCCUGGUAG